UCUCUAAGCAAUGGAUGUCUUGGCUCCUCACACGAUGAAGAACGUGGCAUAAUGUGUUAAGUAACCGGAGUUGCAAACAUCAUGACAGGUUAAUCUUUGAAUGCAAAUUGCGCUAAACUCGAUCUCGGUCGAGAAGCAUGGGUGUGACAGUA
rnacentral:rRNA from 1 species